GCCCCUGUAGCUCAGUUGGUAGAGCGCAUCCAUGGUAAGGAUGAGGUCACGAGUUCAACUCUCGUCGGGGGCU
rnacentral:tRNA from 1 species